rnacentral:lncRNA from 1 species
UUCAUCCGAAACUGAUAUUUCUAACAGAUAUAGAGGGCGCCAGAAUUUGAUCGUGUCGUAGGUCAAAUGCAACAUGUGUAUGGCUGCCACGAAUGUUUUACUGAGCUAAAAGUUAGCUAAAUUACUGGGUUUUCGAACCAUCACUGAUGUUUUUUAUCACUGUCUGAUGAUUAAGAAUGAACUGUUAUACUGUACUGAACUAUGAUAGAUACUCUACUGAAUGAACUGUAUGAUUGUUGCUUAGUAUCCGGUCACAGUAAAUUGAAUGCUGAUUUUUAAUAAAUCUCCAUACUUUACGGUCGGAUACGGUCUCAAUCAUUUGUUGUCUUCAAAUCCUCUGGCCUUCCAGGGAUACUGA